CCUCCUGUUUGAAAGCAAACACCCUGCCUUCCCAUGCACUGGUGUAGUUUUGUGUGUCAGCAGUGGGGAGAGGAGCAGAUGCCAGGAGCUGCGUGCACAGCAAGGACAGGCUGCUGCCACCUCAGACAGAAGGCACCACGAGAGCAUGGCCACCCCCAUGCCAAGAAAAAACAAUUCUGUUCUCAGCUGUGGGUACAUGUUUCUCUCACUGUUCAGUGAGAAUCAGCAAUCGAGAUAUUCAGCUGGUCAGAGCAAGCAAAUUGGCAAAUCCCCAUGCUCCCAUGUCGCACGAAGGCCAGACCGGCUGGGCACAGUGGGAGGCGGGUGGCUCCAGUUGUCCCUGCAGCUUGGGACUAGCGUGCCUGUGUAUGCGAAGAAGGAGUCUGUUGUGCAGCGGGGAGAGCAGGGGAAGUGAUCUACUCGAAUGGAUUUCAUGCUUUGCUCCAGAAAACUAGCCAAAAUUCUUCUCUGUUCUCAAAAGAAAAGCUCAAGAUAUUGCUAUGGUACUGAUAUUUUAGUUGCCUAAACUAGCUUUGUGAGGACCAAACUUGCUUUGUUUCCUUGACGUCUUUUUAAACCUCAAGGAAAGUGAGUCACAUCUAAAUCUGUUUUGUUUUUUUGGUGACAAAUCUAAUUCUCACUGCCCUCCACCCUGCUGUGCCCGUUGCACCAUGUCGCAAUCUGAUCCCUUGAGGUGCUGAGCGCUUCUCUCAGCACCUCCCUAUUGGUAUAGCCCCUGUGCCUGGAUCUGAACGGCGCUUUGUGGAUGAGGCCUCCAGUGCUUCUGCACAAGAGUAGUUCCACCACAUCAGAGGUCUGCACCCAUAUUGCCAUACAGUCCUGUUUGUAAGCAUCUUGAGCAAUCAUGUGUACUUGUACACUUUUAGAAGUCCAUAAAACUUCUAUAUAGAGAAAUAAUUCUAAUUAAUUUUAUAAAAAUAAGCAUGGUGAUUGUCUUUUUCUUUCCAACAGAUACCACUGUAACAAAGUUUUUUAUUAGGUUAGGUAAUGCUGCACUUUAUAUAUUAACUAUGUGUGCAUAUUAGAUUUGAAGUUUAUAUUUUAUAUUUUGGUAUACCAUCCCAAGAUUCUGCCUACUGCAUCCCUCUCAUGCUGUGCUGAAGCCAAACAAUUAAACUCACCUAUUUAAAGCCACCAUCUCCUUAGUGUUGUUUGGAAGACAGAUGUGUAACAAAGUAAUAUAAGGACAUCAUCCUCCUGAACAGUCACUCUUUUUUUUUUUUUUUCACAGGUACCAAAUGAGGUAUUUUCAAUUAGAGGUACUUUUGCAAAAGAUCUUUUUCCAGAAAAUGCUUGUCUGUUAAAACAAGUCUCUUUUUUCUGUAGGAAUAAGCAG
rnacentral:lncRNA from 1 species